AGUUUGAUCCUGGCUCAGGAUGAACGCUGGCGGCGUGCUUAACACAUGCAAGUCGAACGGAAAGGCCCAAGCUUGCUUGGGUACUCGAGUGGCGAACGGGUGAGUAACACGUGGGUGAUCUGCCCUGCACUUCGGGAUAAGCCUGGGAAACUGGGUCUAAUACCGGAUAGGACGAUGGUUUGGAUGCCAUUGUGGAAAGUUUUUUCGGUGUGGGAUGAGCUCGCGGCCUAUCAGCUUGUUGGUGGGGUAAUGGCCUACCAAGGCGUCGACGGGUAGCCGGCCUGAGAGGGUGUACGGCCACAUUGGGACUGAGAUACGGCCCAGACUCCUACGGGAGGCAGCAGUGGGGAAUAUUGCACAAUGGGCGCAAGCCUGAUGCAGCGACGCCGCGUGGGGGAUGACGGCCUUCGGGUUGUAAACUCCUUUCGCUAGGGACGAAGCGUUUUUGUGACGGUACCUGGAGAAGAAGCACCGGCUAACUACGUGCCAGCAGCCGCGGUAAUACGUAGGGUGCGAGCGUUGUCCGGAAUUACUGGGCGUAAAGAGCUCGUAGGUGGUUUGUCGCGUCGUUUGUGUAAGCCCGCAGCUUAACUGCGGGACUGCAGGCGAUACGGGCAUAACUUGAGUGCUGUAGGGGAGACUGGAAUUCCUGGUGUAGCGGUGGAAUGCGCAGAUAUCAGGAGGAACACCGAUGGCGAAGGCAGGUCUCUGGGCAGUAACUGACGCUGAGGAGCGAAAGCAUGGGUAGCGAACAGGAUUAGAUACCCCGGUAGU
rnacentral:rRNA from 1 species